ACGGAGGGUGCAAGCGUUAUCCGGAUUUACUGGGUUUAAAGGGUGCGCAGGCGGGAAAUUAAGUCAGCGGUGAAAGCCCCGAGCUCAACUCGGGAAUUGCCAUUGAUACUGAUUUUCUUGAAUACGGCUGAGGUUGGCGGAAUACGACAUGUAGCGGUGAAAUGCAUAGAUAUGUCGUAGAACACCGAUUGCGAAGGCAGCUGACUAAACCGUAAUUGACGCUGAGGCACGAAAGCGUGGGGAGCGAACAGG
rnacentral:rRNA from 1 species